CAGAGAGAAGAAGGGUGAGAAUGAGAGGGGGAGGAAGAGUGAGAGGUAGGGGUAGAGCUGGUAGACAAGAUUAUGGCCAAAGAAGAAAACUUUCAGAUGAAAUCAGAGCAACCUUAGUUGAUCAUGUCAUCAACCAUGGGCUGACAAUGCGAGAGGCUGGACAGAGUGUGCAGCCUAACUUGAGCCGUUUUACUGUCGCCUGUGUCAUCCGGACAUUUAGACUGGAGUACAGGUAUGUAACCAACAUUUCUUUCACACUAUGUAGUACACCCGAUGUCAUAGUGUAUCAGUUGGGUGACACCUGUUUACUUCAUGAAUGGCUGAUGUCAUACACUAACUGCACAAAUUUCCUGUAGAAUUUACUCUAUUGUGGGGGAAAUAUCUUUAGGCUGCAUUGUCCAAGCCCUAUAUUUUAGUUUUUUUGUUUUUCUAAAGGACUGAGAGACGCAACCAUGGUGGAGGAAGGGGCCAAAUGUUCACCGGGGUACAGGAAGCUGCCAUUGUACACUUGGUUUUGGAAAAUAAUGAAAUCAGAUUACGAGAAAUUCAAAGCUACAUCAUCCAAGACAACACCAUAUUCAACAACAUUCAACGAGUCAGUCUGUCCACAUUGGCCCGCAUUCUCAAGCGAAACCAAAUCAGAAUGAAACAACUUUAUAAGGUGCCGUUUGAGAGAAACUCUCAAAGAAACAAAGAGGUCAGACGAGCAUAUGUGGAUGGAGCACUGGAAAUGGAUGCUCAUGCAAUCCCACAUGAGUUCAUCUUUAUAGAUGAGGCUGGGUUCAACCUAGCAAAGACCAGAAGGGGGAGAAACGUCAUUGGCCACAGAGCCAUUAUAGAUGUUCCUGGCCAACAUGGUGGGAACAUCACAAUGUGCGCUGCCAUCUCCAAUACGCAUGGUGUCCUCCACCGUCAUGCCAACCUUGGACCAUACAACACAGCCCAUAUUCUCACAUUUCUUGACAGACUCCACAACAUUCUCAUACCACCAGAGCGUAUGAAUGAUGCAGACCAUCAAAGAACCCAGCACGUUGUAGUAUGGGACAACGUGAGCUUUCAUCGUGCAGCCCCAGUCCAAAACUGGUUUGCUGACCACCCACCAUUUCUCGUGCAAUACCUCCCACCAUACUCACCAUUUCUGAACC
rnacentral:lncRNA from 1 species